UACGAAGGGGGCUAGCGUUGCUCGGAAUCACUGGGCGUAAAGGGUGCGUAGGCGGGUCUUUAAGUCAGGGGUGAAAUCCUGGAGCUCAACUCCAGAACUGCCUUUGAUACUGAAGAUCUUGAGUUCGGGAGAGGUGAGUGGAACUGCGAGUGUAGAGGUGAAAUUCGUAGAUAUUCGGCAAGAACACCAGUGGCGAAGGCGGCUCACUGGCCCGAUACUGACGCUGAGGCACGAAAGCGUGGGGAGCAAACAGG
rnacentral:rRNA from 1 species